AUUGAACGCUGGCGGCAUGCCUAACACAUGCAAGUCGAACGGCAGCACAGUAGGUAGCAAUACCUAUGGGUGGCGAGUGGCGGACGGGUGAGUAAUGCUUAGGAAUCUGCCUUAUGGUGGGGGAUAACUAACCGAAAGGUUAGCUAAUACCGCAUACGCCCUUACGGGGAAAGCGGGGGAUCGAAAGACCUCGCGCCAAUAGAUGAUCCUAAGUCCGAUUAGCUAGUUGGUAGGGUAAAGGCCUACCAAGGCGACGAUCGGUAGCUGGUCUGAGAGGACGGCCAGCCACACUGGAACUGAGACACGGUCCAGACUCCUACGGGAGGCAGCAGUGGGGAAUAUUGGACAAUGGGGGAAACCCUGAUCCAGCAAUGCCGCGUGUGUGAAGAAGGCCUGCGGGUUGUAAAGCACUUUCGGUUGGGAAGAAAAGUUUGGCGCUAAUACCGCCGAACCUUGACGUUACUGACAGAAGAAGCACCGGCUAACUCUGUGCCAGCCGCCGCGGUAA
rnacentral:rRNA from 1 species